rnacentral:rRNA from 1 species
UUAUUUGAAACAGGAUACAACCUUCGACACUGGGUAAAUAAAAGUGAUCUAGAUAAAGUGGGCCUAAAAGCAGCCACCUUUAAAAGAGCGUCAUAGCCUAUCCUCACUCCACACCUUUAAUUCACUAAACUCCUCUCAACCCUUCACCAGUACUGAACUGUUUUAUAUUUUUAUAAAAAUAAUUAUGCUAGAACUAGUAACAAGAAAUUACCUUUCUCCAAAUGCAAGUAUAAAUCAAAAAUACCCUGAUAAUUAACGCAAAUACAUAAAAUAUAGUAACAAAUAUCUAGAAAACUCUAUAGUUUUUUACGUUAACCUAACACCAGAGCAUUACAGGAAAGAUUAAAAGAGAGAGAAGGAACUCGGCAAACUUCAGCCCCGCCUGUUUACCAAAAACAUCGCCUCUUGAUUUAUAUAAGAGGUCCCGCCUGCCCAGUGACAAAUGUUCAACGGCCGCGGUAACCUAACCGUGCUAAGGUAGCAUAAUCACUUGUCCCCUAAAUAGGGACUAGUAUCAACGGCAUCACGAGGGCUUUACUGUCUCCUCUCUCCAAUCAGUGAAACUGAUCUCCCCGUGAAGAAGCGGGGAUUUUAUU